GUCCUCGUGGUGAAAAGGAUGAUCACACGACUCUCCGAAGGUCGGGUUCCAGGUUCGAGUCCUGGCGAGGACG
rnacentral:tRNA from 1 species